CGAGCGGUAGCACAGAGAGCUUGCUCUCGGGUGACGAGCGGCGGACGGGUGAGUAAUGUCUGGGAAACUGCCUGAUGGAGGGGGAUAACUACUGGAAACGGUAGCUAAUACCGCAUAACGUCGCAAGACCAAAGUGGGGGACCUUCGGGCCUCAUGCCAUCAGAUGUGCCCAGAUGGGAUUAGCUAGUAGGUGGGGUAACGGCUCACCUAGGCGACGAUCCCUAGCUGGUCUGAGAGGAUGACCAGCCACACUGGAACUGAGACACGGUCCAGACUCCUACGGGAGGCAGCAGUGGGGAAUAUUGCACAAUGGGCGCAAGCCUGAUGCAGCCAUGCCGCGUGUGUGAAGAAGGCCUUCGGGUUGUAAAGCACUUUCAGCGGGGAGGAAGGCGUUAAGGUUAAUAACCUUGUCGAUUGACGUUACCCGCAGAAGAAGCACCGGCUAACUCCGUGCCAGCAGCCGCGGUAAUACGGAGGGUGCAAGCGUUAAUCGGAAUUACUGGGCGUAAAGCGCACGCAGGCGGUCUGUCAAGUCGGAUGUGAAAUCCCCGGGCUCAACCUGGGAACUGCAUUCGAAACUGGCAGGCUAGAGUCUUGUAGAGGGGGGUAGAAUUCCAGGUGUAGCGGUGAAAUGCGUAGAGAUCUGGAGGAAUACCGGUGGCGAAGGCGGCCCCCUGGACAAAGACUGACGCUCAGGUGCGAAAGCGUGGGGAGCAAACAGGAUUAGAUACCCUGGUAGUCCACGCCGUAAACGAUGUCGAUUUGGAGGUUGUGCCCUUGAGGCGUGGCUUCCGGAGCUAACGCGUUAAAUCGACCGCCUGGGGAGUACGGCCGCAAGGUUAAAACUCAAAUGAAUUGACGGGGGCCCGCACAAGCGGUGGAGCAUGUGGUUUAAUUCGAUGCAACGCGAAGAACCUUACCUGGUCUUGACAUCCACAGAACUUUAGGCGGUCUGUCUAGUCGCAUGUGGAACUGUGAGACAGGUGCUGCAUGGCUGUCGUCAGCUCGUGUUGUGAAAUGUUGGGUUAAGUCCCGCAACGAGCGCAACCCUUAUCCUUUGUUGCCAGCGGUUCGGCCGGGAACUCAAAGGAGACUGCCAGUGAUAAACUGGAGGAAGGUGGGGAUGACGUCAAGUCAUCAUGGCCCUUACGACCAGGGCUACACACGUGCUACAAUGGCAUAUACAAAGAGAAGCGACCUCGCGAGAGCAAGCGGACCUCAUAAAGUAUGUCGUAGUCCGGAUUGGAGUCUGCAACUCGACUCCAUGAAGUCGGAAUCGCUAGUAAUCGUAGAUCAGAAUGCUACGGUGAAUACGUUCCCGGGCCUUGUACACACCGCCCGUCACACCAUGGGAGUGGGUUGCAAAAGAAGUAGGUAGCUUAACCUUCGGGAGGGCGC
rnacentral:rRNA from 2 species